UACGUAGGGGGCUAGCGUUGUCCGGAAUCAUUGGGCGUAAAGCGCGUGUAGGCGGUCCGGUAAGUCCGCUGUGAAAGUCGGGGGCUCAACCCUCGAAUGCCGGUGGAUACUGUCGGGCUAGAGUGCGGAAGAGGCGAGUGGAAUUCCUGGCGUAGCGGUGAAAUGCGCAGAUAUCAGGAGGAACACCAAUUGCGAAGGCAGCUCGCUGGGACGUAACUGACGCUGAGACGCGAAAGCUGGGGGAGCAAACGGG
rnacentral:rRNA from 1 species